AGCUGAGUGGUGCAGUAGAUACACUGGAAGGAAGGGAAGCCAUCCAGAGGGACCUGGACAGGUUGGAGAAGUGAGCCCAUGAAAACCUAAUGAGGUUCAAUAAGGUCAAGUGCAGGGUGCUGCACUUGGGUCAGGGCAAUCACAGAAAGCUUCCACCUCAGCUGUGCCAUCAAAAUGGGGGAGAAAUACAUGUGAAGCUGGUGGUAGAAAAUCUUUUUGUGAAUUUCUUCAGAAGGCUGGAUAGAAGAAGAGAUAUGGAAACAGAAUUUACAUAAGCAGAGAAAAAUUGCCCUAUUUCUAUGUCUUUAAAU
ensembl:lncRNA